GAUGAACGCUGGCUACAGGCUUAACACAUGCAAGUCGUGGGGAAACGGCAUUAUGUGCUUGCACAUUCUGGACGUCGACCGGCGCACGGGUGAGUAUCGCGUAUCCAACCUGCCCCUUACUUGGGGAUACCCCGUUGAAAGACGGCCUAAUACCCGAUGUGUUUCAUUGACGGCAUCCGAUAUGAAACAAAGGUUUUCCGGUAAGGGAUGGGGAUGCGUCUGAUUAGCUUGUUGGCGGGGCAACGGCCCACCAAGGCGACGAUCAGUAGGGGUUCUGAGAGGAAGGUCCCCCACAUUGGAACUGAGACACGGUCCAAACUCCUACGGGAGGCAGCAGUGAGGAAUAUUGGUCAAUGGACGCAAGUCUGAACCAGCCAAGUAGCGUGCAGGAUGACGGCCCUACGGGUUGUAAACUGCUUUUAUGUGGGAAUAAAGUGGCGCACGUGUGCGCCAUUGCAUGUACCUCAUGAAUAAGGACCGGCUAAUUCCGUGCCAGCAGCCGCGGUAAUACGGAAGGUCCGGGCGUUAUCCGGAUUUAUUGGGUUUAAAGGGAGUGUAGGCGGUCUGUUAAGCGUGUUGUGAAAUUUAGGUGCUCAACAUUUAACUUGCAGCGCGAACUGUCAGACUUGAGUACACGCAGCGCAGGCGGAAUUCAUGGUGUAGCGGUGAAAUGCUUAGAUAUCAUGAGGAACUCCGAUCGCGAAGGCAGCCUGCGGGAGUGUUACUGACGCUUAAGCUCGAAGGUGCGGGUAUCGAACAGG
rnacentral:rRNA from 1 species